rfam:Schistosoma mattheei strain Denwood, Zambia genome assembly, scaffold: SMTD_scaffold0015535
AUCCAGCUGAUGAGUCCCAAACAGGACGAAACGCGCAUCCUGGAU